GUCUUCGUGGCUCAGUUGGUUAGAGCGCCGGUCUCAUAUAAAGGAAAACCUUAUAGUUCCCUAUCCAAGUAUGAAACAGUCUUAAGACUGGGAUAUCCGGAGAUCGCCAGUUCGAUCCUGGCCGAGGACA